UCCUUGCCUCCCCACCAACAGCCUCAGAUCAAACUCCCCGAAUAUUUAUAAAAUCUCUACCAGAAACAGAGAAAGUCAGCCGCCCAGCCAGGCGUCUGCCCACGUCUUUCCGGAGCUGCUGGAGUGACACUCUCCAACGUGGCUCAUUAUUCUGUUUUUCUUCCUUGCACCUCCAGAAGGGAACACUGCCCUGACGACACUGAUUUUAGCUCAGUGAGAUCCAUUUUGGACUUCUGACCUCCAGGAUUAUACAGUCACCUCGCCUAAGUGUCCCCAGCGGUGCUCUGCAGAGCAGAGGCCCCAGCUCCAAAACAACAGAACACAAAGUACUUUAACCUUUGAAUGUGGCAAGACCUCCGUGAAAAAUCGUUUCUCAGCCCAUUUGAUGGGAAAAGGGUGCUAUUUUUGUGACUACCUGUAACAUCUGAGUAUGCUCGUCAGAAGUCACUCCGAGGAAAAAUCUGAUUAUUAGUUGGGAAAAUGGGGCAAGGAGGAGGCAGAGAAGAGAAGUAGCUCUGCUGGGUAUGUGGCAGUGUGACUUCUAGAACUGUUUGUGUCCAUGUGGACUUGGACAAGCCACUUCAGGACUCUGGGUCUGGGUCUUCUCAUCCAAAACAAGGUAGGGAAGAGCCGCGCAGCCAGCAGAGCUGCUGCCUUCAGCACUGGGGACCCCAGGGCAGACAUAGGGCUUCUGCCUUCUGCCCAUUCCACAUGCUGGAGUCCUCCUCGGGGUGCAGUCCUGGCAAGCGUGUGUGUCUGUGGUCAAGACGACAGACCUUUCCUGCCAUUGCUUUAGUGGGAAAAUUGCAGAAAAAGGACUACAAACACCUCUGCAGUCUUCCUUUGAUUAAUGAAAUCAGGGCAUUACUCAGAAUUGCUCCUGGGGGCGCAGUGACCCACGCAUGUAACCCAGUAUUUUGGGAGGCUGAGGCAGGUGGAUCACAUGAGGUCAGGAGUUCGAGACCAGCCUGGCCAACAUGGUGACACUCUUCUCUACCAAAAAGGCAAAAAUUAGCCGGGUGUGGUGGAGGGCACCUGUAAUUCCAGCUGCUUGGGAGGCUGAGGCAGGAGGGUCACUUGAACCUGGGAGGCAGAGGUUGCAGUGAGCCAAGAUCACGCCACUGCACUCCAGCCUAGGUGACAGAGCAAGACUCCAUCUCAAAAAAAAAAAAAAUGCCCCUGGGAUGUGUAUUAAUCACAGGUUAAUGACUUACAAAUUCAUAUCGUGUCAUAUGUAUGACAGAUUAUAUUUAGAUGUAUUUAUAUUACAUGUAUGACACUACAUGAGUACAAAUUACAGGUGUUUGUACAGAUAUUUGUAUAUUUAUUAAAAAUAUCUAUUAUAAGUAUAGAUAGGUAAUUACCUACUAUUUUAUAGGUAUUUGUCUCUAUAGACACAUAUAUAUGGACAGGUUUUUUUGUGUGUAUAUAUAUAUAUGCACACAUAUAUAUAACACUAUAUCAAUACAAAUCACAGGUAUUUUUAUAUAUAUUACAAAUACCUAUUAGAGAUAUGUAUUAGUAAAUGUCAUAUACAUAUUUAUAUAUAUAUACAUGUAAAUAUAUAGGUAUUUGUGUGUAUAUGACACUAUAUGAAUACAAAUCACAGGCAUAUACUUACACACAGAUACGGAGUCACCCAAGGAUUCCCUAUAAGGCCAUGGACAAAAAGCAUGUGUCUCCCAUGGUGGACUGAAUUGUGUCACCCUCAAAAGAUACACUGAAGUCCUAACCCUGGUACCUGUGAAUAUGACCUUAUUUUUGAAAUAAAAAUAUAUUUGCAGAUGUAAUUAUGAUGUAGGUGGAGAUGAGAUUAUUCUGGAGUAGGGUGGGCCCUCAAUCCAAUACGGCUGGUGUCCUUAUAAGAAGAGGGGAGAGGAACAGAGACAGACACUGUCAUCCACAAGGAGACCACCAUGUGAAGACACAGAUGCAUAGGGAAGGGCCACGUGAAGAUGACAGCAGUGACGGGAGUGGGGCAGCUACAAGCCAAGGAAUGUGGAGGAGUGCCGGCCACCACCAGAAGCUGAGAAGAGGCAAGGAAGGACCCUUCCCCACAGCCUUUAGGAGGAACAUGGCCCUGCCGAAACCUUGAUAUCACACCUCUAGCCUCCAGAACAACGAUGCAAUCAAUUUCUGUUGUUUUCAGACACUCAGUAAAGUACCCGCGUGGCUAGGGGAGCCCUAGGAAGCGAGUAUAGCUCUCGUGGCCGAAUGGAAUGAAGCGAAGCCUUCAUGUCAGCAUUGGGCUUGCAGGUGCUGAGCCCCCGAUGGUGGCCCCUCUUCCCGGCUUUCUCUCAGGGGCAUGGGUGGGGUGGAGAUAUUCAACUACUUCCAACGGAAACCAACACUUGAAAGGUUAUGAAGGCCCCUAAACCUCCUGCUCUUCCAUGGUGAUGGCUGACAGCUAAAGCCACACUGCCACUACCCUAAGCCCAAGCUUGAUCACCUGGAAAUGGGGACUGAGAGAGGACGAGAACAGCACAGCCUUUGAGCUCUCAUGGGGUGGCGUAAAUUUAUGGUCAAUAUGCCUCCAGAUCAGAGGUCCUGCUGUUAGAGAGUUUUCUUUUUUUGCUUUAGUGGUACACAGGAAUUCUCCCCCAGCCCCCUCAAGAUACUCACACAUCUUUUUAAAAUUUGCACCUUUUUUUCAGUCUGGUUUCCUAUGGUGAAGGGGAGGCUAGGAAAUGCCCAAUAAAUCAUCUGUCUGUCUUCACUCAAUUGAAAGGCAGGAAAUGCAGAGAACAGUCACGUUACCUUUCCACUUUGCAUAUAACAAGAGCUAUCAGGACCUGUUCCUUUGAAGGGGAGGCCCUUCUGACAGCAAUAUUAAAUUUUCGAGGCCACUGGAGUUUGUUUCUUGGGACCAGACCCAAAGUGGGCAGGCAUGUGGGAUGUUGGCUCUUUCCCCUACCAGCCCCUUCUAGGAGUAACUUCUUGGGCUUACCCUGGGAAAUCUACUCAGUCAGCAAUGAUUUAGGGGCUCCAUGUGCACAGCACCAUUGUAAGUCUAUGUGGAUUAAAGGAAUUCUACUCUUGAGUCCUAAUUCUUAACAAAUUUACAUCUACAGACAGUCCUAGACUUAUAAUGAUUCAACUAAAUGAUUCCUUGACUUUAUGAUGGUGUGAAACUUCCAAUUUUAAC
rnacentral:lncRNA from 10 species